GACCUCUUAGUUCAGCGGUAGAAUGUGAGAUUCCAGCAAUGGAGCUUCCUCAAGGUCGUCCGUUCAAUCCGGGCAGGGGUCA